AUUGAACGCUGGCGGCAGGCCUAACACAUGCAAGUCGAGCGGAGCGGCGGACGGGUGAGUAAUGUCUGGGAAAAUGCCUGAUGGAGGGGGAUAAAUAAUGGAAACGGUAGCUAAUACCGAAUACCAUCAGAUGUGCGCAGAUGGGAUUAGAUAGGAGGUGGGGUAAAGGCCUACCAAGGCGACGAUCCGUAACUGGUCUGAGAGGAUGAUCAGUCACACUGGAACUUAGCCCGCGUCCAGACUCCUACGGUAGGCAGCAGUGGGGAGUAUUGGACAAUGGGCGAAAGCCUGAUCCAGCCCUGCCGCGUGUGUGAAGAAGGUCUUCGGAUUGUAAAGCACUUUCAGUUGGGCGGCGUUACCAACAGAAUAAGCACCGGCUAACUUCGUGCCAGCAGCCGCGGUAAUAC
rnacentral:rRNA from 1 species